UGUUUUCCAGUGAUAACGGUAAAAAUGUCGCUCUGGGUUUCCAAUUGUGCUACGAGAAGGUUCCUGACCACACUAAAGGACGUUAGCUAGCUUGGCGUCGUCUCACUGCUUAGAAACAGAGAUGGACACCAGAGAAGAACCUCAGUGUGACAGAACAUGAUGAGGCAGAGCUGAAGGUUGCCAGUAUGAUGGAUGAGGACACACCCACACAACCAUAAAACCCGGGUCUCAACAAGCCUCAGUAGGUAUGACAGUCAAAA